UUUCCGUAGGUGAACCUGCGGAAGGAUCAUUAUUGUAUAACCGAGGUGCGAGGGCUGUCGCUGACCCGAAAGGUCGUGCACGCCCGAGUGUCCGCACACACAUCCAUCUCACCCCUAUGUGCACCACCGCGUGGGUCCCCCUUUGGCUUGUUCGGAGGGGGGCUUACGUUUUCACACAAACUUUGUAUGCAGUGUAGAAUGUAUUUUUUGUUUUUGCGAUCACGCAAUCAAUACAACUUUCAACAACGGAUCUCUUGGCUCUC
rnacentral:misc_RNA from 1 species